GUGCUCGGUUUGGCAGCACAUAUACUAAAAUUGGAACAAUACAGAGAAGAUGAGCAUGGAUCCUGCUCAAGGAUGAUACGCAAAUUCAUGAAACGUUCCAUAUUUUA